GAUAAAGAGGAACGAAUCGCUGUGAUUGC
rnacentral:sRNA from 1 species